GGACCACCACACAGGCAAGUGCCCGGGGUGGGGCGAGCGAGAGGGUGAGCGCGCAGCCGCAGCCCGCGCGCAGUCAAGCGACGCCGGCACCCACGUCCACGUCCCGCCCCGCGCAGUGUGCAGGCCCCGGCGCGCCGCGUGGGCCGCUGGGUGCGGCUGUGACGUCGCCGCGAGCGGCCAUGGGGACGUCUAGUCCGGCUUCUGCACUAGGCCUGUAUCCACUGUGGUGGCCGUUCCCGUAGCCGCCCGGCCCUGCAGGUGCUGUUGCCAUAGGAAGAGAAGCGCGACUGAGCACAGGUGAUGAAAUCCCCAUGUGAAAGAAGUCCCACACAGUACCCCAGAAGGAAAGUAAUGUCCUUAGCAAGGACAAGACAUUGAGACCACGAGAUUGCUGUACAAAGCGAACUUGUUUUUUUGCCUCCCCUACACUGAGAAGGCAUCAUUCUUCUCCGUGGAGAAAACCAAGAGACGUCUUUCCGGGAUAGUUUUACUCCAGUGGCAUUGGGCUACAGUGGGACCCCUGGGGUCCAAACAUACUCCCAAAUGUG